UACGAAGGGGGCUAGCGUUGCUCGGAAUCACUGGGCGUAAAGGGCGCGUAGGUGGCGUCGCAAGUCGAUGGUGAAAGCUCGGCGCUCAGCGCCGAGUCGGCCCUCGAGACUGCGAGGCUGGAGCACUGUAGAGGCAGAUGGAAUUCCGGGUGUAGCGGUGGAAUGCGUAGAGAUCCGGAAGAACACCGGUGGCGAAGGCGGUCUGCUGGGCAGUAGCUGACACUGAGGCGCGACAGCGUGGGGAGCAAACAGG
rnacentral:rRNA from 1 species